rnacentral:rRNA from 1 species
AGGCCGGAAUCGCUAAAUCGCGGAUCAGCAUGCCGCGGUGAAUACGUUCCCGGGCCUUGUACACACCGCCCGUCACACCACGAGAGUUUGUAACACCCGAAGUCGGUAGGGUAACGCUUAGGCGAGCCAGCCGCCGAAGGUGGGACAGAUAAUUGGGGUGAAGUCGUAACAAGGUAGCCGUAUCGGAAGGUGCGGCUGGAUCACCUCCUUUCUAAGGA